rnacentral:lncRNA from 1 species
AUUUCUAGCUAAAACCUGAACUCUUGGUCAAAGUUUGCCAUAGCAAAGGCCUGGCUGGACCGUGCUGCCGGACAGGACAGAAGGCACUGGUUUGCUGGGAGUUGCCCUCUUCCCUUCAUCAACAGACUUACUCCAUCAUGCAGCCAUGUGAGGCUGGCGUGGCUUGCCUUUCACAUUUCCUGCCUUCUCUGGUGAUAGGGGAUUUGUUGACAUUUUUCUACAAACCCUGUUGCUAUUAUGAAUCAGAAACAGAUUUCAAGCUCCAGCACUCUCAGAGUUAAGCUGCAUUGAAAAGGAGGGAAAAAAAAAUAAAUGGAAAAAACUUCGAGAUUUAAAGUAAGAA